AUGGUCACUCAGGGAGGCCGAUGGUCACUUGGUGGUCACUCAGGGGUCACUCGGGGUCACUCGGGGUCACUCGGGCAGGUCGAUGACCAGCUCGUCGUCCCCGUCCAGGGAAGGUCGAUGGUCACUCAGGGAGGCCGAUGGUCACUCAGGGGUCACUCAGAGGUCACUGGUCACUCGGGGUCACUCGGGGUCACUCGGGGUCACUCGGGCAGGUCGAUGACCAGCUCGUCGUCCCCGUCCAGGGGGUCGUCGCUGCCCUCCCCCUCCCCCUCCCCGCCCCCGGGGCCGCUCAGGAGCCGCCGGGGCAGCGUGGGGGGCACGGGGGGCGGGGCCGGGGGCGGGGCCAGCGCCGGGGGGAGGGGCGAGCCGGGGCCACGCCCCCCGCCCAGCCCCGCCCCCGCCUCGCCCCCAGGGAGGGGCAGAGGGGGAGGGGCCGGAGGGGGCUGGGGGGGAAGAGAAGGGGGGGAGGGGUCAGUGAGUGACCACUGAGUGACCGCUGACCCCUCCUUGACCCCCAUGACCCCUCCCCAUUUAACCCCACCCCUUUCCCCUUUUAACCCCGCCUUUUUUCUUAAGC
rnacentral:lncRNA from 1 species